UUUUAAAUUCAAUUUAAGAAAUUGGAUUUUGUAAUUUAGGUUUAAUUAAUUAUGAAUUAAUUAAAUCAAGUUUUAAAUUAAUUGAAUUAGAAAAAAUUGAAAAUCUGAAAGAAGUGGGUUUUCCCCAUUUUUCUUCUUAAGCAUGAUGUGUAAUUCAUGCAUAAUCACACAAUUCCCAAUAAAUUGAGAAAGCAGUUGCUGGCCAUGAUUUUGUUGAUGUUGCUUGCAUGUUGUUGAGGAAUAAAACACUUCCAAUUUGCUGAGAUGAGGACGGAUUGACUGAGAAUUGAAUACAGAAAAAUUAGUUUUUUGCACUUCAUCUUUUUCUCUCUUCAAACCCAUAAAAUACUUACCAAAUUCACUCAAAAUUUGAGUUCCACCACUCAAAUUCAAGGCUGAGAAUAGUAGAGAAGACCUCUUGGUAGUUCACAGACUGAUUUGGAGCUGAAUUGGAGUGAAGAACAACUUGGAUUUUUUCAUCACAAAAGGGUUGAGGAUAAAAUACAUACACUAGACGCGUGGUGCUCCAGCCUUUCGUCUUACAUGGAACAAAACCACUGUUUCGAAGAGGAAAAAUCUCAGAAGUCCUCCCCUGCUCCUUCUUUCCAAUGCUUUACCCUCUGCCCUAUACUCCUUUGAUGUAUAUAUCUCUACUGAGGUAUACUAUGAAGUCAGUGAAAAAAUUAUGAGAGAAAGAAGAGAGAAAUAAGGAAGAAUUUGACACUCAGAUAUUCAUAGUGGUUCGACUUAUAAAAUGCCUACAUCUACUGUGAUAGAGAGGAGAUUUUAUUGAUGAACACAAGGGGAGUUUUUACAACUUGAAACUUUAGAUCAAUAACUAUCAUUAAAUGAAUUCUUAACUCUACUACUUAUUGAUUUUAGACAUGCAUGGUUGUAAUAGAUUAUAACUACAUAACUCAUAGGAUAUUUUCUACAGAUACAAAUAUUAUUCCUCUAAAUGAUGGCAAUUAAAC